ensembl:lncRNA
GUUGGUGGGGAGAGAAGAGUGGCAGGGAGAGGGAGACAGGUUGGUGGGGAGAGAAGAGUGGCAGGGAGAGGGAGACAGGUUGGUGGGGAAAGAAGAGUGGCAGGGAGAGGGAGAGGGAGACAGGUUGGUGGGGGAAGAAGAGUGGCAGGGAGACAGGUUGGUGGGGGAGAGAAGAGUGGCAGGGAGAGGGAGACAGGUUGGUGGGGAAAGAAGAGUGUCAGGGAGAGGGAGACAGGUUGGUGGGGAGAGAAGAGUGGCAGGGAGAGGGAGACAGGUUGGUGGGGAGAGAAGAGUGGCAGGGAGAGGGAGACAGGUUGGUGGGGGAAGAAGAGAGGCAGGGAGAGGGAGACAGGUUGGUGAGGGAAGGAGAGUGGCAGGGAGAGGGAGACAGGUUGGUGGAGAGAGAAGAGUGGCAGGGAGAGGGAGACAGGUUGGUGGGGAAAGAAGAGUGUCAGGGAGAGGGAGACAGGUUGGUGGGGAGAGAAGAGUGGCAGGGAGAGGGAGACAGGUUGGUGGGGAGAGAAGAGUGGCAGGGAGAGGGAGACAGGUUGGUGGGGGAAAGAAGAGUGGCAGGGAGAGGGAGACAGGUUGGUGGGGGAGAGAAGAGUGGCAGGAGAGGGAGACAGGUUGGUGGGGGAGAGAAGAGUGGCAGGGAGAGGGAGACAGGUUGGUGGGGGAAGAAGAGUGGCAGGGAGAGGGAGACAGGUUGGUGGGGGAGAGAAGAGUGGCAGGGAGAGGGAGACAGGUUGGUGGGGGAGAGAAGAGUGGCAGGGAGACAGGUUGGUGGGGAAAGAAGAGUGGCAGGGAGAGGGAGACAGGUUGGUGGGGAAAGAAGAGUGGCAGGGAGAGGGAGACAGGUUGGUGGGGGAAGAAGAGUGGCAGGGAGAGGGAGACAGGUUGGUGGGGAGAGAAGAGUGUCAGGGAGAGGGAGACAGGUUGGUGGGGGGAAGAAGAGUGGCAGGGAGAGGGAGACAGGUUGGUGGGGGGAAGAAGAGUGUCAGGGAGAGGGAGACAGUGUGGAGGACAACGGAGAGGAAGACCAAGAGAAGUGGUCACUGACGAGAUGAGGGCCACAAUUAUUGACCGUGUUGUAAACCAUGGUCUGUCCUUGAGAGACGGUUUAAGGGUGCAACCAAAUCUGCAGCGUUGUACAGGCUUUUCCGGC